rnacentral:tRNA from 2 species
GCCGAAGUGGCGGAAUUGGCAGACGCGCAUGGUUCAGGUCCAUGUGCCCGCAAGGGCGUGGGGGUUCGAGUCCCUUCUUCGGCACCA